GCUCGUGGGCGAACUCCCCAUACCCAGACUCUGAUGAGUCAAAAAACAAAGCCUUCUGCCCCACCAACGUAUUUGGUCCCUCUCACCCAGUGCUUGCUAAUAAAGCCUGGUACUUUGUAGGGGCAGGCCCACAAGAAAACAACAAACAGCUUCAAUAGAAGGGAUGUGCUGCCAGCCCCCUCCCUUCUCCUGCCAGUGUUUGUAUGGUCCUGAUUUCCGUACAGAGACUCUGAUCUGCAAGUUGUAUUCGUGACCAUAAAACAGAGAUUAGCUCUUAUCUCUGGCAGGCAGCACUAUCAGGCACCAGCCCUCUCUCCAGAGUGCUGGCAGCCAAGGACCAGCCCAGCACACGAAGAUGAACUAGUUGAAAGAGGAGGAGGAAGGCAUUUGCUCGAGACUAAUUGAAUUUUCUGCCUGUGAAGAGAAAGACACGACACAGAGACCCCAUUCAACACUAGCCCAUGAUGUCCUGGAAGCAGAUAGGAUCCUGAGACCAUCAUCCACUCUGAUGCAGUGAUGCCAUACAAGACUCCCUGGAAGAUGACA
rnacentral:lncRNA from 14 species